rnacentral:rRNA from 2 species
UGGAACGAGUGGCGGACGGGUGAGUAACACGUGGGUAACCUGCCCUUAAGUGGGGGAUAACAUUUGGAAACAGAUGCUAAUACCGCAUAGAUCCAAGAACCGCAUGGUUCUUGGCUGAAAGAUGGCGUAAGCUAUCGCUUUUGGAUGGACCCGCGGCGUAUUAGCUAGUUGGUGAGGUAAUGGCUCACCAAGGCGAUGAUACGUAGCCGAACUGAGAGGUUGAUCGGCCACAUUGGGACUGAGACACGGCCCAAACUCCUACGGGAGGCAGCAGUAGGGAAUCUUCCACAAUGGACGCAAGUCUGAUGGAGCAACGCCGCGUGAGUGAAGAAGGCUUUCGGGUCGUAAAACUCUGUUGUUGGAGAAGAAUGGUCGGCAGAGUAACUGUUGUCGGCGUGACGGUAUCCAACCAGAAAGCCACGGCUAACUACGUGCCAGCAGCCGCGGUAAUACGUAGGUGGCAAGCGUUAUCCGGAUUUAUUGGGCGUAAAGCGAGCGCA